CCUACGGGGUGCAGCAGUCGAGAAUCAUUCACAAUGGGGGAAACCCUGAUGGUGCGACGCCGCGUGGGGGAAUGAAGGUCUUCGGAUUGUAAACCCCUGUCAUGUGGGAGCAAAUUAAAAAGAUAGUACCACAAGAGGAAGAGACGGCUAACUCUGUGCCAGCAGCCGCGGUACUACAGAGGUCUCAAGCGUUGUUCGGAAUCACUGGGCGUAAAGCGUGCGUAGGCUGUUUCGUAAGUCGUGUGUGAAAGGCGCGGGCUCAACCCGCGGACGGCACAUGAUACUGCGAGACUAGAGUAAUGGAGGGGGAACCGGAAUGCUCGGUGUAGCAGUGAAAUGCGUAGAUAUCGAGAGGAACACUCGUGGCGAAGGCGGGUUCCUGGACAUUAACUGACGCUGAGGCACGAAGGCCAGGGGAGCGAAAGGGAUUAGAUACCCGUGUAGUC
rnacentral:rRNA from 1 species